UACGUAGGGGGCAAGCGUUGUCCGGAAUUAUUGGGCGUAAAGCGCGUGUAGGCGGCUCGGUAAGUCUGCCGUGAAAACCCAGGGCUCAACCCUGGAAAGCGGGUGGAUACUGCCGGGCUAGAGUCCGGAAGAGGCGAGUGGAAUUCCCGGUGUAGCGGUGAAAUGCGCAGAUAUCGGGAGGAACACCCGUGGCGAAGGCGGCUCUCUGGGACGGUACUGACGCUGAGACGCGAAAGCGUGGGGAGCGAACAGG
rnacentral:rRNA from 1 species